CACAUUUCGAGUACUUGGACCCAAGAUCCUGGCACAAAUUGAAAGCUGUGGUGCCUUCAUGAGACAGGACCAGGCUGUCGAAAGUGGGUCCCCAGAGGUGUGCCUGGAGAAUUGUACCUGAUCCUGGCUCCAGGUAUGUGAAUGUGCAUGUGAGCGGUGCCCUGGAGCAGAGACAUCAGAUGCUUUGCAAAUGGAAGGACAAACACAUAAUCUUCUUGGAGCAUGGCUUUUGAAAGAACAAUUUUGUACAUUUGAGGUGCUGAGGAUAAAACUCUGGACUUACACAUAGCUGGCCAAUGAUCUACUACUGAACAACAUCCCCAUACCAAAAUCAUAGUGCAGAUUAGCCUCAUACUCAUGAUCCUACUCAUGAGCCUUAUUCUCCUCAAAUCUGUCAUUAUUGUUGAGAACACCUAUCCACUUCCAAGUAGAAAGGCAAAGGACUUCAUGAGGAGACAGACAACAAAUGCACAAUUAAACUCAAGUUCACAUCUUCCUGAAGAUGUGGAACUGAAACAGCUGAGAAGUCUUUUCCAUGAUGCGUUAAUGAAAAGGACCAUUCUGAUUUCUACUAUAGGCUUAUGAAGGGGAAAGUGCCAUCAAUGUAAAUAUCAAAACAGGAAAUAAAUGAUUCCUCACUUUGACAUCCAGGUUGUGGGCCCCGGCCUGAAGCUAAGAAGGGGUUGAAGCAUGCCUAAAGCCCCAGGUGUUCUCAUCCUGAGAACAGCAGGAGUUUGGCUGUUCUGUCACUUUGCCCAGGCAGCCCCCAGCAGUUAGUCUUCCCUGAGGGCCUGAUACAAGUAGCAACACAUAUCUCCAAGGAGGAACUGGUUGCUGUUUAUCUCACCACUGAAACAUUCCAGGCUGGAUUCCUGUAUGACUUUUUGAGGUUCCUUUUCCUGGCAAUUGAGUAUGCAAAGGACAUUCCCUCAAUGUUCUUGCCCCAACCAAUGACAUACCAUCACAUGGAUCCAACCGGACACUCCUCCUAGCAUAUAAAUGUCCCUUGCUCCCUCUGAAUAAGUGAGCUAUCCACUG